rnacentral:rRNA from 1 species
CAGCAGCCGCGGUAAUACGUAGGGUGCGAGCGUUAAUCGGAAUUACUGGGCGUAAAGCGUGCGCAGGCGGUUCGUUAAGACAGAUGUGAAAUCCCCGGGCUUAACCUGGGAACUGCAUUUGUGACUGGCGAGCUAGAGUAUGGCAGAGGGGGAUAGAACUCCACGUGUAGCAGUGAAAUGCGUAGAGAUGUGGAGGAAUACCGAUGGCGAAGGCAGCCCCCUGGGCCAAUACUGACGCUCAUGCACGAAAGCGUGGGGAGCAAACAGGAUUAGAUACCCCGGUAGUCCCUGUCUCUUAUAC